CUUCGGCCCGAGUUGUAAUUUGCAGAGGAUGUUUAUGGUGCAGUACCUUCCGAGUUCCCUGGAACGGGACGCCACAGAGGGUGAGAGCCCCGUCUGGUUGGAUACUAAACCUGUGUUAAACUCCUUCAACGAGUCGAGUAGUUUGGGAAUGCUGCUCUAAAUGGGAGGUAAAUCUCUUCUAAAGCUAAAUACCGGCCAGAGACCGAUAGCGCACAAGUAGAGUGAUCGAAAGAUGAAAAGCACCUUGAAAAGGGGGUUAAACAGUACGUGAAAUUGUUGAAAGGGAAGCGAUUAUGACCAGACUUGUGCCGUGUGGCUCAUCCGAGGUUCUCCCCGGUGCACUCCACACGGCUCAGGCCAACAUCGGUUUUCGUUGGGGGAUAAGAAUAGUAGGAACGUAGCUUUCUUCGGAGAGUGUUAUAGCCUAUUAUACGAUACUCUGACGGGGACCGAGGACCGCGCUUCGGCUAGGAUGUUGGCGUAAUGGUCAUUACCGACCCGUCUUGAAACACGGACCAAGGAGUCGUCCAUUAGAGCGAGCGUUUGGGUGUAAAACCCGCACGCGUAAUGAAAGUGAAAUUAGGUGAGAGCUUCGGCGCAUCAUCGACCGAUCCUGAAGUUUACGGACGGAUUUGAGUAAGAGUUUUAACGGACGGACCCGAAAGACAGUGAACUAUGCUUGAAUAGGGUGAAGCCAGAGGAAACUCUGGUGGAGGCUCGCAGCGGUUCUGACGUGCAAAUCGAUCGUCAAAUUUGAGCAUGGGGGCGAAAGACUAAUCGAACUGUUAGCUACUAGGCAGUUAAAAGUUUCCCAGUAAUGGGAGGCUAGUGGGCACCUAUAGCGUGCCUGCGACACCGUCAAAUUGCGGGGACCUCCUGUUAAAUGUACAGUACCGCGGCUUUUUCGAAAGAUUAAGUGCAGCACCAGGUGUAAUGGCCUGGGUAUGGUAAUAAACUGUUUACAUAGGGAAAAUCCGCAGCCAAGCCCUAAAGCUCUUUUAUAGAGUCAUGGGUGCAGUUCACAGACUAGACGUCGGUGGGCCUUUAGAGGCUUAAGAUAUAGUCGAGACCCCCUAGUAAUAGGUGGGAUUACUAUCUAGUGAAUCUCGCUAG
rnacentral:rRNA from 1 species